rnacentral:rRNA from 1 species
UACGGGGGGUGCGAGCGUUGUCCGGAAUCACUGGGCGUAAAGGGCGCGUAGGCGGCCCGCGCAAGCGUGCGGUGAAAGCCCGGGGCUCAACCCCGGGUCGGCCGUGCGGACUGCGGGGCUCGAGCACUGUAGGGGCAGAUGGAAUUCCGGGUGUAGCGGUGGAAUGCGUAGAGAUCCGGAAGAACACCGGUGGCGAAAGCGGCGCGCUGGACCUCUUCUGACGCUGAGGCGCGAAAGCCAGGGGAGCGAACAGG